AACAUUAGCAGGGUGGAUAAGAACGUGGUAUCUCAAGCCAGGUGGCUGGAGCGCAAAUCCUGGUGCUCCAUGCGACUUCGGUUGGGAUUAUUUAACUUCUCUGUGGCUAGUUUUCCCUCAUGUAAAUUGGGGAUCUGUAGCAAUAAUUUGCUUCACAAGUUUGUGAGGGUCUCAGCGUUGGUCAGUCAAGCUCUUCCACUGACCCCCCGGGCUCUGCAAACGCUCCCUGACUGUGGGACAGAGUCCGCAGUGUCGACAGGAUGAUGACGUAAGCUCUCCACGCUGCAGCAGUUAACGCCGUGUGUCAUCCGCUGUAACUCUGAAAACUCAAAUCACAGGGCCAGGGUGGGGCUCAGCGGCAGGGUGCUUACCUAGCAUUUUGUGAGGCCCUGGAUUUGAACUCCAGCAGAAAACAAACACCAGACCCAAACAAACAACAAGCAAACAAAAACCGCAGGCUCAAAAUAAACAAAAUUUGGAUGGAUGAACAGGAACGGACAGGCUCAGUCAAACCCCUACCUACAUCAUCAUUUACUGAGCAAAGGUCAGGCUUGAGAAACCAUUAAACACCAGGGCAAACAAACAUACAGACCGGACUAGCCAUCCGCUACAGUUUGGUGCUUACGGCCAGGUCUGGGCUAAAAAGCUGAGGGAGACGGUGGGCAGCGUGGAGAGAGUUCAAGGCCAAGGCCAUGCUGGAGGAAGAGAUGCAUCAAUUUUGUGAUUAUCAAUAAUUACAUCUUCAGAAUGGAAUGGACGACGGGGUGUGCGUUGAGAUGGUGAUGUCACUGCAUGAGGAAAGUAUCCUGGAUUCCAGUUGUUAAUGUGUUUUUAAUAGCCAAGAAAUUCUUCCCCCGACAUUAAAUGACCCAGGCAUUAUCUAAAAUCCCAGGGAGGCUUGCAUUUUCCCACGGUCUGGGGGGAUGGGGGGUGGCGUCUGCUCUUUACUGUCCUGGCGAUUUUCUUAGCCUCUGUGGAGGAAGGAAAGACACUGAAUGGAGGGAGAUUCAGGGAGGCUUUGGGAGGGGAUGAAGUGGGUUUUAAAAGAAGCAAGAGUCUUGAGGGAUGGAAAAGACCACCACCCUGUAUGUCCCAUGUCUGCAUUUCAAGAGGGAUUUAUAGAAUAACAAUGGACAACAAGGACAGGCGAGACAGUUGUUUAUCUUGAACCGUUUAGGGGGCCCCCAGGCAGUGGGAUUGGGACCGGUCCCUGGUGCAUGAGCCGGC